CAGAAGCUAAAGUACGUUUCUCUGCCUCUUUCUCCAUAUUUCCGUUUCAGAAUCCUCCAGAAACCUUUGUCGUCUGCGUUCCUUCUCUGUUCCCAGUUCAUCGCCGACGUUAGUGAUUGAAGGAGCUUCGCCCUUCGCCGUCGAGUCUUCUCCUACUCCCCCAAUUUCUUCUUCUUCGUCGAGCUGUUAUUGGAGUCAGAGAGAGUCGAAAACCUCCCCCUUUCCAUUUCUCUUGGCGGUGGCUACGACUGGGAGAGUGAGGCAUUCAAUCCCUUCCGUUCUUUGUUCAUCCCCCUCUGGUCCUUGUUGCAGAAUCCUCUUCUUCUCUUUGUCUGUCGUGCCUCCUUCUCUGUUCAGGCUACCGUGCUGUUGCUGUUAGAUCUUCCUCGGGCACUACUGUUGCUCUGUCGCCUAUCACUUUGCGUCGUCGCUAUUAUGGUGGCUGUGGGGUGUGUUGAUUUCUUUUCCUCCUCUUUCCUUGCACAAUCUUCUCCUUCUUCAUGCUUCUGUUAUUGUGAGCAGAGAUUAUUGCUGAUCAGAAAUUGAAAACUUAAAUGGCGUCAACAAUUUUGCUGAAAGAUUCAAUGAAAAUGCUUCUAAACAUAUGUUUGGUUUCUUGUUUCUUGCUGGAGUUUUUUGGCACAUUAGUGUUCAUUAGAUUUGACGGACAGCUGAGAUUAACUCACAAAGUAGUAUCUGUGUUAUAGUUCACAGAGUAGGGAAAGCAUUUGCCGACUCCUGCCAAACAACUACGUAACUGGCCUCUGAUUGUAGUUGUUCCUCUUCAUUCCUUGCUUUCUUCAAAUUCUCUAAUUUUUGAUUUCUUCUCGUUAUUUUACUUUUCUCAAGUAAUGGACUUCUCAGAAGACUGGAAGUCCCUCUUCCCAGUUUCUAUAUCUUGUUCAUCCCCUGUUCUGAUUCCCUCUUCUGCGCGGCCCACCUUGGGUCCCCUCAUCUUCAAUCCCAUUGCUCAAACCCUCACCCAUGUUUUCUCUUCCUCUUCUCUCUUACCACCUCCUCUUUAUAUCCCCCAACUCUCUCUUUCUCGAUUUCUCAUAACCUCGUGUCCUGAUGCUCCUGUUCUUCCCUCCACUGCGUCCUCCAUCGCUUCGCUUUGUGGUCCCCAAUUCCAAAAUAAUAUCACCUCUAUCCUUCAUUACAAUCGGCUUGAGUUUCUCAAGUAUGGCAAUAGUGUUAUUAUCUUCUUUCCAACAGGGGUGAACUCUGAGAAAGUUGGGUUUUUGAUUCUCCAUGUUGAAGGUUCAAGUUUGCGCCUUCAGCUUGAUGGUAAUGGUGAUAUUUUUCGAGUUGCAAGUGGAGCAUGUUACAACAUAUCAAGGAUUUUAGUUAACCCAAUUGAUGAUGAGGGUGGUGAUGAUCUAGGCAAGCCUUCUACUAUUGGGUAUUUGUUGGCUUCCACAUGCAAUUCUGCGCAUUGGUUUUCUGUUCAAUAUAAUUCAAGUUUGGAGAGACCUAGUGUAGCCUAUAUGGGUGGAAAAUUUUUUAAAACUUGCUCUGUUGCCCAUGCUUGUUGGAGUUCACACAUACGUGAAGAAAGCCUUGUUUUGCUUGAAAGUGGUGAGCUGUUCUUGUUUGAUUUGGAGUAUUACAUGAAAAAUUCGAGUUCAAAUGGCAAUUUUAAGGGAACUAGGUUGAAAGUACCGUGGCAUGAUUCAAAUUGUUCUGAUGACAAAGUUUGGUUAAGUUGUGAAUUUAGUUGGCAUCCAAGAAUUUUGAUUGUGGCACGUUCUGAUGCAGUUUUUUUAGUUGAUUUAAGUGCAGAUAAAUGCGUUGUAAGUUGUCUUUUGAAGGUUGAUGUUUUGCACAUGCAUACACGGGCUCAAAAUGAAAGAUUUCUAGCCCUUUCAAGGGCAAGUCCUGACGGCUUCUACUUCACUGUGGCCUCCACAAAUUUCUUACUUUUAUGUGAUGUGCGGAAGCAUAUGAUGCCAAUUAUACGAUGGGCCCAUGGUCUUACCAACCCUAGCUUCAUGAAUGUGUUAAACUUGUCCAAGUUGAGAUCACAUUCAAGGGAAGAUACUUUCAAGUUAGCUUCUGAAGUUGGAUUUUGCAUCAUAUUGGGAUCAUUUUGGAGUGGUGAGUUCAAUCUCUUCUGUUAUGGAACUUCAUUGCCAUCUCAAAGAGGAUCUCUUGCUUCAAAGCUUUCUAACAAGACCUUUUAUGCGUGGGAGCUUCCAUAUGAAAUUGUGUUAUCUGGUCGUGAUUGUCUUUGUGGGAGUUGUCUUCUAAAAGAAGAGUUGUCAAAGGCUGCUCUCCCUAAUUGGAUUGAUUGGCAGAUGAAGAAGGAGAUAGUUUUGGGCUUUGGCAUUGUGAACAGUGAUUUAGCCUCCUUACUUUGUGAACCAUAUAAAUAUGGUGGUUUUACAUUGGUAAGGCUAAUGUCAUCCGGAAAGCUUGAAUUGCAGAGAUAUGAAGCCUCCUGGAUUCAUGAUAGAAAGUUAGAAAAUUGCCAUGAACAAGGGUUACAUUUGGACAAAUAUUUAUUGUUCACUGUAGGUGAUGAGAAAUGUAAGUAUCGCAAAAAUGUUGUGUUUCAUAAAUUGAACUAUAUCGAUGCAUAUAGAAGAGGCAACCUUACUAAACUCUUAGUUAAAAAACUGAAAGAUCCUUGUGUGGAUGCUCAGGAGAAGGGACCUUUCGAUGUGGAUGUUCAUGAGUUCUUGUGUGAGAAAUUGAAUGCUUGUGGGGUCGGCCCAUUUAGAACUUCACCUGCCAUUAUUGCGUUUUUUAAAGAUGUGAAGCCAUCAGCAAACCUGCAUGAUGUUGCUCUGAGGGGAUUGUGGGCCGAAUUGCCUUUGGAUCUGUUACAAUUGGCAUUUUCAAAGCAUUCUGAAUCUCUGGACAUAGAUGUUGGUCAAAAGAAGGUGGCUUUGGAGUUUUUAGCUGUUCCAUCCCGUCCUGAAUUGCCUCCAUUUUUCUUAAGGAAAUCAUCCUCUUGCAGCAAUAAAGGGUCUAAUAAGGUUCAGUGUGAUGGUGAUAUAGUAGGUCCAGUUCUUCCUCUCCCUAUUUUACUUGUGCUUCAUGAAAUUUAUGAUGGGUGUUCUGAUUUGGAAGAUGGAAAAUUUUCUGUAGAAGCAGAGCUUGAUGCCAAAUACAAUGAAAUUUUGAAGGUGGCUGGUGAAAUUUCAGCUUCUAUUUCUGGUUCUGAGGUUUGUGGUAAUCAUGAAGUAUCCCUUGCUGAAGAUACAGAUGAAACUUGGGUUGAUCCUUCAAAACUAAAACCUUUCUGGCUAUACCGUCCAGCUUCAUUCAAGUGCUGUGACACAAAUCUUGUUUACGGGAACUCUAGUUAUCGAGAUAAGAUUCAUGAUACAUUAAUUUUUCAUGUUUCAGAGGAAAAGAAUGUUUCCAAUGAUAAGUCAGAGUCCGAUCUAGUGGGUCCCCAUUUAUCCGAUGAUCUUUGCUUAGUUGAGUUGGGGUUUAAUGCUCCGACUAAAAAAAUUGAACAUGGGGGUUUAAAGGCAUUUGAUAUAUUGAAGAGGCAGCUAUCUAAAUGGCAAGUAGGUGUUGAUUCAUACAAAGAGCUUGCUGUUCAGUCUGGAUUUGUGAAGCCAGUCUGUAAGUGAUGGUACUUUUUAAGGUACCCUUUUAUGGAAAAUUCCUGCUUCCACAUAGGGAGGGGAUUCUAACACCAAGAGAACUAAGUUUGAUCGAGAUACUAAAGAAAGAGUCAAUGAGGAAACAAAUCCCAUUGAGACGGGCAGCACAAAUGUGGAGCAGCAUGUGCUCCCGCCAGGAUAUACUAGUGUAGACGCAUCCAAUGUAGAUUGAUGGAUAGAAUAAAGAAAUCAGUUUAUGAUCAGCUUCCUAAAGAAUUGAAUGAAAUGAAAAUUAGAGAUGAGAUAGCCAACAAGGGCAAUGAAAAGAGGAUAUAGAGCCAACUAUUGGGAAUGGUAAUGGAACUGAAACAGGGCAGGUAAUCACUACAGCAAUUGGCGGUUGUGAUGGACAACCAUGGCAGUUGUGGAAGGUGAUGGGUUCUUGAAAUCUUCUGGUCAUAUUUAAAUAGUUCAUAUUAGAAUGGUGUGUUGCAACAGAGCGAAUUGACAAUGCGCUUGCAAUCUUUAAAGAGCUAAAGUCAUCUGGUGUUAAGCCAAAUGCUGUCACGUUCACCAUCUUGCUUCCUGGGCUUUGUGAUGCAGAAAUAUUUAUCGAAGCUCAAAAUGCUUUGAAGGAGAUGGUGAAUAGAUAUAUUGCUCCUAAGGAUAAUUCCAUCUUCCAGAAACUGCUGACUGAUUUGCCAGUGUAAGUCUGGCGACAUGGAUGCAGCUACAGAUGUACUAAAAGCAAUGAUUCGAUGAGCAUUCCCACAGAAGCUGGUCAUUAUGGCAUUUUAAUUGAGAAUUUUUGCAAGGCCAAUGCAUAUGAUAGGGCAGUAAAAUUGUUAGAUAAGUUAGUUGAGAAGGACAUCAUCUUGAGGCCACACAGUUCUUUAGAAAUGGAACCUAGUGCUUAUAACCCAAUGAUUGAACUUUUUUCCGGCAGGUAAUGAAAAAGGUUGUCCAGGAUUCAGUUGCUUUUAAUAAUUUGAUCUGUUGGCACUCAAAAGAAGGAAAUUCUGAAUCAGCUUUUGAAAUUAUUAAGAUCAUGGAUAGGAGAAGGGUUUCUAGAGAAGCAGAAUCUUGCUGGCUGCUUAUUGAGAGCAGCUUGAGGAAAGGUGAACCAGCUGAUGUUAAAACAGCCUUGGAUAGCAUGCUUGAAAGCGGGCACCUGCCAGAUUCAUCCCUUUAUAGGUCAGUCUUGCAGAGUUAGUGUGAUGAUGGUAGGGUUCAAACUGCAAGCAGAGUAAUGAAAAGUAUGGUAGAGAAAGGGGUGAUGGAGAACGUGGACUUGGUUGGUAAGAUCUUGGAGGCUCUUCUAACGAGAGGUCAUGUCGAGAAAUCCUUGGGUAUACGCCUGACUUUGAUAGCCUUUUAUCAAUUCUUUGUGAGAAAGGAAAGACAGCUGCUGCUUUGAAGCUGUUAGAUUUUGGCCUUGAGAGAGACUGUAUCUUAGACUUAUCAAGUUAUGAUAAAGUUUUGAAGUCUCUCUUAGCAGCAGGAAAGAAAAGACCCGUAAUGCAUGUUACAUUUUAUGUAAAAUUCUGGAAAAAGGAAGUGCAACAGAUUGGAGUAGCUGUAAUCCGAAUUGAUCAAUAGCCUUAAUCAGGGGGGUGACACAAAGCAAGCAGAUGUUUUAUCUAGAAUGAUCGAGGGAACUGAGAAAUGCCCACUGAAGGAAAAAAAAAGGCAAGAGACAAGCUACCGUAACGUAGUUCUUCCUUCACCAUUUCGUUUGAGGUGAGAAGCAUGAUGAGGUAUAAUUUCGGCACAGUAAUGUUUCAGGUGGACCCAAAGUUGUAAUUCCCUUUGACUGAUUGUGAUGUUCUUCAUGCUGGAUCCCGGAUUAUCUAGGCUUGCAAUGGCUUAGUUUUACGGUUCUCAUCCACCUAGUGACAUCCAAGGCAUCCAAUUUUGUUUUUAUAUCUGUCAUGUUUCAUUACAAUGUUGUAAUUGAGAAAUGAAUAUUGGUUUUCUAUCAAAGGAUUCAAAAAUUCUCAUGA